rnacentral:rRNA from 1 species
UACGUAGGGCGCAAGCGUUAUCCGGAAUUAUUGGGCGUAAAGAGCUCGUAGGCGGUUUGUCGCGUCUGCCGUGAAAGUCCGGGGCUCAACUCCGGAUCUGCGGUGGGUACGGGCAGACUAGAGUGAUGUAGGGGAGACUGGAAUUCCUGGUGUAGCGGUGAAAUGCGCAGAUAUCAGGAGGAACACCGGUGGCGAAGGCGGGUCUCUGGGCCGAUACUGACGCUGAGGAGCGAAAGCGUGGGAAGCGAACAGG